UGCGGUUGGCCUCUCCCCUCUUAAUGCCAUCGUAUGCUCUCCUCACCCACCUUGCACACUUCCCUAUCCUCUCACUGACAUCUUCUCCCAGUCUUCCUCUCCUCUCACUCUUCACCUACUCCAUUGCCACCAUUAGUACCUGUCUAAUAGUGCGAGAAGAGAGCAUCUAUGCUUUGCUUUGCCGCCUCUUGGGUGGAGCAAUGAGUUGGCAUCACAAUUCACACCAAGCUUUGUUUUUUUGCCCGCUUUGUGAGAGUUUUGUUAGCAAGUUUAACCUCUCUCUGUCACAUGGCUUCUAUUUUUUUUAUUAAUGACUCUUUAAGUGGAGAAGGGCGACAUGUGAGGAGUCUCUCUCUCUCUCUCUCUCCAUCUCUUUCUUUGGCUCUCUCUCCAAUCCCAUGCGCCUAUCUCCUCACAGCCUUUGAGGGAUGACCCAUCCCACUUUAAAAAGAGUGAAGUAUUUGUGCUGCCUGCAUACUGAAACAAGGUGGGAAUAGGAUGCGCUGUCCCUCUUGUGGGACACAACUUGAUGUCUGGCAAUCCACCUGGUGAGGGGACCAGCUCUCUUGUCUGAUGCUGGUGGGCUCAGCACCUGGUGGCAAGGAUUCAGGUUGCAGGCAAUGACUCCGGGUGUGGGGAGGCACAGAAAGGUCACUUCAAUUGUCUGUUGAGUAACUUAUUGUGAUUGUCCCCUGUCCUUGGCAGGAUGGUUUGUAUCUUGGUAGGGUAAAGCCAUCAAGGCAAGAUCUGGUUAGAAGGGAACUCUAUCAAUGGUGUUUGUAAACCAUCUAUCAUGCAAUUAAGAUUCCAAAAUGAUGACCCUGUUCUUUUUACUCUUUGAGACUCCAUAAGCAAGCAGAAGGUUGUUGGAGAUUUACAUGUAUGUCUACAAGGAUACUGGAUUGCAGAGUAUAAAUCCCUGCGGGGGAUGUCAAUUAUUUGGAGCACAAACUCAUCCAAAAGAAAGAGCUUCGUGAUUCAAUUGACUUUGCUUGUUUAAUCUGCAACCAAAACAACUUGACAUGAAGUCUUUAUCCGAAAACAGGGGGACGAAAUCCUGUAAAUUCCAUUAUGAAUCCUCCCCACAUCUGCAGCC
rnacentral:lncRNA from 1 species